GAUGAACGCUGGCGGCGUGCCUAAUACAUGCAAGUCGAGCGAACAGACGAGGAGCUUGCUCCUCUGACGUUAGCGGCGGACGGGUGAGUAACACGUGGAUAACCUACCUAUAAGACUGGGAUAACUUCGGGAAACCGGAGCUAAUACCGGAUAACAUGUUGAACCGCAUGGUUCAACAGUGAAAGACGGUUUUGCUGUCACUUAUAGAUGGAUCCGCGCCGCAUUAGCUAGUUGGUAAGGUAACGGCUUACCAAGGCAACGAUGCGUAGCCGACCUGAGAGGGUGAUCGGCCACACUGGAACUGAGACACGGUUCAGACUCCUACGGGAGGCAGCAGUAGGGAAUCUUCCGCAAUGGGCGAAAGCCUGACGGAGCAACGCCGCGUGAGUGAAGAAGGUCUUCGGAUCGUAAAACUCUGUUAUUAGGGAAGAACAAAUGUGUAAGUAACUAUGCACGUCUUGACGGUACCUAAUCAGAAAGCCACGGCUAACUACGUG
rnacentral:rRNA from 1 species